rnacentral:rRNA from 1 species
GAUGAACGCUGGCGGCGUGCCUAAUACAUGCAAGUCGAGCGAACAGACGAGGAGCUUGCUCCUCUGACGUUAGCGGCGGACGGGUGAGUAACACGUGGAUAACCUACCUAUAAGACUGGGAUAACUUCGGGAAACCGGAGCUAAUACCGGAUAAUAUAUUGAACCGCAUGGUUCAAUAGUGAAAGACGGUUUUGCUGUCACUUAUAGAUGGAUCCGCGCCGCAUUAGCUAGUUGGUAAGGUAACGGCUUACCAAGGCAACGAUGCGUAGCCGACCUGAGAGGGUGAUCGGCCACACUGGAACUGAGACACGGUCCAGACUCCUACGGGAGGCAGCAGUAGGGAAUCUUCCGCAAUGGGCGAAAGCUUGACGGAGCAACGCCACGUGAGUGAUGAAGGUCUUCGGAUCGUAAAACUCUGUUAUUAGGGAAGAACAAAUGUGUAAGUAACUAUGCACGUCUUGACGGUACCUAAUCAGAAAGCCACGGCUAACUACGUG